CACAUCGAUAGGCGAUAGCGCAAAUUGCAUACCUGAGACCGACGCGGUCUGUGUGUCGCGGAUAGGAAAAUAGGAAAUUAUAAAUAGAAACGGGCCGUGCCGAUGCCCCAAAAGCCACCCAAUUGCCAGCUGCCCCAAUCGGCGAGGAUACCAAGUGCUACCGAGGAUAUGCAAAAUGCGAAGUAGCCCGGACAUGGAGUGCCACUAAGUGCCGGUUCCGUCUGCGGGAAAACCAAUUAGCAGAUCAACUGCCAUCGAAAAAAUAUUAUAA
rnacentral:sRNA from 1 species